UACGAAGGGGGCUAGCGUUGCUCGGAAUCACUGGGCGUAAAGCGCAUGUAGGCGGAUUGCUAAGUCAGGGGUGAAAUCCUGGAGCUCAACUCCAGAACUGCCUUUGAUACUGGCGACCUUGAGUCCGGGAGAGGUGAGUGGAACUGCGAGUGUAGAGGUGAAAUUCGUAGAUAUUCGCAAGAACACCAGUGGCGAAGGCGGCUCACUGGCCCGGUACUGACGCUGAGGAGCGAAAGCGUGGGGAGCGAACAGG
rnacentral:rRNA from 1 species